AUUGAACGCUGGCGGCAGGCCUAACACAUGCAAGUCGAACGGUAACAGGAAGCAGCUUGCUGCUUUGCUGCCGAGUGGCGGACGGGUGAGUAAUGUCUGGGAAACUGCCUGAUGGAGGGGGAUAACUACUGGAAACGGUAGCUAAUACCGCAUAACGUCGCAAGACCAAAGAGGGGGACCUUCGGGCCUCUUGCCAUCGGAUGUGCCCAGAUGGGAUUAGCUAGUAGGUGGGGUAAAGGCUCACCUAGGCGACGAUCCCUAGCUGGUCUGAGAGGAUGACCAGCCACACUGGAACUGAGACACGGUCCAGACUCCUACGGGAGGCAGCAGUGGGGAAUAUUGCACAAUGGGCGCAAGCCUGAUGCAGCCAUGCCGCGUGUAUGAAGAAGGCCUUCGGGUUGUAAAGUACUUUCAGCGGGGAGGAAGGGAGUAAAGUUAAUACCUUUGCUCAUUGACGUUACCCGCAGAAGAAGCACCGGCUAACUCCGUG
rnacentral:rRNA from 1 species